CACUCCUGUCCCUGUGAAGAGUGAAGAUGAUGAAGAGAAAGACUAACCUCGCCUCAUAACGAGGCUGUGACCUAUAUUUGCUCAGAGCUACGUCUGCAAGUCAGAUUUACAUGACGCUGAUAAUGACGCCAUUGUGUCUGCCUGUAAACUACGAGACAGCACGCAGGAGCUUCAGGUAGA